AUGACGAAGAUUUUCAGGUGCAGCUACUAUCGGUCGAAGCAACCCGACGAGCCGCCCGAGGAGGACGAAGAAUCGGCGGCGGGGGAAUACGAGUACGUGGAUCUCGAGGACGGCCAAGGCAAGCAAGGAGGCGGCGACGAGAGGCCGGAAUCCGGCCGUCUCGUGGACCCUGACGUCGUCUUCACCAUUCACAUCGCCGCCUUGUGCGUAAUGUUGGGCUCCUUCAUCCUGAGCUACUCCUACCUCGGCACCGGCGUGGUGGCCGCGUGGCCGGACGACGUCCUCCAGAUCAUCCCGGGCGCCUUGUUGCUCGCCCUCGGGGCCGCCGCUUUCGCCGGUCUCGCCUUGCGAGUCUGCACUUUCUCCACGUGGUUUACGGUUUUUUGUUGA
rnacentral:rRNA from 1 species